rnacentral:rRNA from 1 species
AGAACGAACGCUGGCGGCAGGCCUAACACAUGCAAGUCGAGCGGUAGAGAGGUGCUUGCAUCUCUUGAGAGCGGCGGACGGGUGAGUAAUGCCUAGGAAUCUGCCUAGUGGUGGGGGAUAACGUUCGGAAACGGACGCUAAUACCGCAUACGUCCUACGGGAGAAAGCGGGGGACCUUCGGGCCUCGCGCCAUUAGAUGAGCCUAGGUCGGAUUAGCUAGUUGGUGAGGUAAUGGCUCACCCAAGGCGACGAUCCGUAACUGGUCUGAGAGGAUGAUCAGUCACACUGGAACUGAGACACGGUCCAGACUCCUACGGGAGGCAGCAGUGGGAAUAUGGACAAGUGGGACGAAAGCCUGAUCCAGCCAUCGCCGCGUGUGGUAGAAGAAGGUCUUACGGAUUAGUAAAGCUA